rnacentral:rRNA from 1 species
AUGGAUAGCGGCGGACGGGUGGAGUAACGCGUAGGUAAGCCUGCCCCGCACACAGGAAUAGCCUAGGGAAACCUGGAUUAAUGCCUGAUGACGCGGCGGAGUCACAUGGCUCUGCCGCCAAAGAUUUAUCGGUGUGGGAUGCACCUGCGUCUGAUUAGCUAGUUGGUGAGGUAACGGCCACCAAGGCGACGAUCAGUAGCCGACCUGAGAGGGUAAUCGGCCACAUUGGAACUGAGACACGGUCCAAACUCCUACGGGAGGCAGCAGUGAGGAAUAUUGCACAAUGGGGGAAACCCUGAAUGCAGCAACGCCGCGUGAGCGAAGAAGGUCUUCGGAUCGUAAAGCUCUGUCCUAAGGGACGAAGAAGUGACGGUACCUUAGGAGGAAGCCCCGGCUAACUACGUGCCAGCAGCAGC